rnacentral:rRNA from 1 species
GAUGAACGCUGGCUACAGGCUUAACACAUGCAAGUCGAGGGGAAACGACGGGGAAGCUUGCUUCUCCGGGCGUCGACCGGCGCACGGGUGAGUAACGCGUAUCCAACCUGCCUCUGACUGAGGGAUAACCCGUCGAAAGUCGGCCUAAUACCUCAUGGCAUCGUCUGCGGGCAUCCAACGACGAUUAAAGAUUUCAUUGGUCAGAGAUGGGGAUGCGUCUGAUUAGCUUGUUGGCGGGGUAACGGCCCACCAAGGCGACGAUGAGUAGGGGUUCUGAGAGGCAGGCCCCCCACAUCGGAGCUACGGCACAGUCCAAACUCGUACGGAGGAGAGGGGUAAGGAAUGUUGGUCAAUGGGGGAGGGCCUGGACCAGCCAAGUGGCGGACAAGAGGACGGGCCUAUGGGUUGUAAGCUGCUUUUGAGCGGGGAAAAAGUAAGGGACGUGUCAUUCAUUGCAGGUACCGAAUGAAUAAGGACCGGCUAAUUCCGUG